rnacentral:rRNA from 1 species
UACAGAGGUGGCAAGCGUUGUUCGGAAUUACUGGGCGUAAAGGGCGCGUAGGCGGUUCGUUAAGUCCUGUGUGAAAUCCCCGGGCUCAACCUGGGAACUGCAUUUGUGACUGCAUGGCUGGAGUGCGGCAGAGGGGGAUGGAAUUCCGCGUGUAGCAGUGAAAUGCGUAGAUAUGCGGAGGAACACCGAUGGCGAAGGCAAUCCCCUGGGCCUGCACUGACGCUCAUGCACGAAAGCGUGGGGAGCAAACAGG